rnacentral:snoRNA from 1 species
GUCGACGUACUUCAUAGGAUCAUUUCUAUAGGUCACGUCUCUCUUUGACUCUUCACAAGAGCCACUGAAUCCAACUUGGUUGAUGAGAUAGAUACCUUUGUACCCUAGAGUGAGAAUAUUAUUUAGCUUGUCCACGAUCCUUAGCGGUCUGGUCAUCUAUUAUUUGUUUUUCCUUUCAUUAGUUAAUGAUUUGUUAAUUAAUUUUGUACUUUUUUAAAGUAUUUGAUUAAUUCUCUUAUCAUUCGAAAGGAGCGAUGAUCUUGACCCUUUAUAUGUAUUCUUUCGGGAAGGAUAUAAUUGGGUGGGUACAAAUGGCUGUCUGACAAGU